rnacentral:rRNA from 1 species
AUGCCAGUUCGAACGCGAAAAGUUUCCUUUCGGGGAACAAGGUAGAGUGGCGCACGGNCUGUAGUUAACACGAUAGGCUAAUCUACCCUUUGGAUGGGGAAUAACAAUCGGAAACGAUUGCUAAUACCGCAUAAUGCAGCGGCACCUAAUGGUGACAGUUGUUAAAGCGGGGGAUCGAAAGACCUCGCGUCUGAAGAGGAGCCUGCGGCGGAUUAGCUAGUUGGUAAGGUAAUGGCUUACCAAGGCUACGAUCCGUAACCGGCCUGAGAGGGCGGUCGGUCACACUGACACUGACAUACGGGUCAGACUCCUACGGGAGGCAGCAGUCGGGAAUUUUGGGCAAUGGGCGAAAGCCUGACCCAGCAACGCCGCGUGAAGGAUGAAAUCCCUCGGGAUGUAAACUUCGCAAGAACGGGAAGAAUAAGUAGGGGACAAUACCCCCUAUGAUGACGGUACCGUUUGUAAGCUCCGGCUAACUCCGUGCCAGCAGCCGCGGUAAUACGGGGGGAGCAAGCGUUGUUCGGAUUUACUGGGCGUAAAGGGCGCGUAGGCGGCCAGCACAAGUCAGUUGUGAAAUCUCCGAGCUUAACUCGGAAAGGUCAACUGAUACUGUGCGGCUAGAGUGCGGAAGGGGCAACUGGAAUUCUUGGUGUAGCGGUGAAAUGCGUAGAUAUCAAGAGGAACACCUGCGGCGAAGGCGGGUUGCUGGGCCGACACUGACGCUGAGGCGCGAAAGCCAGGGGAGCGAACGGGAUUAGAUACCCCGGUAGUCNUGGCCUUAAACGAUGAAUGCUUUGGUGUCUGGGGUUAUAAAGUCCC